rnacentral:rRNA from 1 species
UACGUAGGGUGCGAGCGUUAAUCGGAAUUACUGGGCGUAAAGCGUGCGCAGGCGGUUUUGUAAGCCAGAUGUGAAAGCCCCGGGCUUAACCUGGGAAUGGCAUUUGGGACUGCAAGGCUGGAGUGUGGCAGAGGAGACUGGAAUUCCUGGUGUAGCAGUGAAAUGCGUAGAUAUCGGGAGGAACACCUGUGGCGAAAGCGGCGCACUGGACCAUAACUGACGCUGAGGCGCGAAAGCUAGGGGAGCAAACAGG